UACGUAGGGGGCAAGCGUUAUCCAGAUUUACUGGGCGUAAAGCGCGUGUAGGCGGCUGGUUAGGUGUGAUGUGAAAUCUUCCGGCUCAACCGGAAAACUGCAUUGCAAACCGGCCUGGCUAGAGUGCAGGAGAGGGAAGCGGAAUUCCAGGUGUAGCGGUGAAAUGCGUAGAUAUCGGGAGGAACACCAAUGGCGAAGGCAGCUCGCUGGGACGUUACUGACGCUGAGACGCGAAAGCGUGGGGAGCAAACAGG
rnacentral:rRNA from 1 species